UACGUAGGGUGCGAGCGUUGUCCGGAAUUAUUGGGCGUAAAGAGCUUGUAGGCGGUUUGUCGCGUCUGCUGUGAAAAUCCGGGGCUCAACCCCGGACUUGCAGUGGGUACGGGCAGACUAGAGUGUGGUAGGGGAGACUGGAAUUCCUGGUGUAGCGGUGAAAUGCGCAGAUAUCAGGAGGAACACCGAUGGCGAAGGCGGCAUCCUGGACCGGCAUUGACGCUGAGGAGCGAAAGCCAGGGGAGCAAACGGG
rnacentral:rRNA from 1 species